AAGAAAAACUUUGUUUUCCUACGCAGCCCGACCUGAACGGAUCGACCGACCGACCGACCGAACCAACAAAGCUCCCCAGUCCCGUCUUCUGUUCGUCUCCAGCGGAGCGGCGGUGCAGUCACUCCGGCGGGCGGCGGCGUUGCACGGCGACUCCAGCGGCUCCGGAGGUGCGGAGAGCCCAGCCACCAGGAAGCAACCGCAGGCGGCUCGGCUACUCCGGCACUACGGGCGCCGCUAUUCCCCCAGCACCACGGGCCCGGCGGCGAAUCUGGCAAGCCCGGGUGCCGCACGUCCGGCGACUAGCGUGCACAACGGCCAGCGUGCACAAAUGGAUGAUGAGGCUCCCUCUGACUGGAUGUCCAGAAUGUGGAAGAGAAAAGUGCAUCCUGAAGUAGUCGGCGACCGCGGCAAAUAUUCAGUAGAAUGCCCAAGGGAUGGCAAGGAUAUGAAGGUGAAAAACUGGCAUUUCUUCAUGUGGCUGGACAAGACAUGGUCGAGUAAAUUUGGAUGAUAAAUGUGCUCAUCAUGGGCAAUGCGGCUGCUCGUGCUUGUCACAAGAAAUAUGCCAGGUUUUAGUGUACUUUCUUUUCUUUAUUCUUCUUCUAGUGUUGCCGUCGAAGCUAGUGAAGUAGAAUAUCCGCGCAAUUGAUCGUGGUCGCCAUCCUGUAUGAGACGGUGCUCGCUCUGUCGAAUGGGACGAACAUGUCGGGCUGGUUGGUUCUGUAGAGAUAUGCAAAGUUUCGAGAAAUGGCAAGUUUACCAAGGGGCUAGACCUUCAUUUCACGUGGCAUUACUAGGCUCAGAAUUUUGAAAUUAUUCAAGUAAUUAGACAGGCAGAUGACCAAGAAGCCAAAGAAAACAAGGGCGUAUGAUCUAUGCCGAACUAAAAUAGGGCAUAUGAUCCCCUGCAAAAAUAAAAUAGAAAGCUUCCACGUCAUUGUCCCAGAUGGCUUUGGGAAAAGAUAAUUCAGUGGCAAAAUAAGCAACAAACUGACUGAUUCCAUACUCACAACAACAAAAAAUGAGUAAAUUGGUACUUCGGCAAGUAUUAACAAGCUAGUUGUCGCUUCAUUUAUCAACAAAAUAUGUUGUUACAGGGCCCUUCUAAGUUCGAACAGUAUGUGUUUAUUUUUUGUUAUUGUUGCAGCUUUGUGUUCCAGGAGAACACUGAAUUAUAUCAGAGAUGACACGUACCUAUUUAGUUUUAUGAAUUUCUACAGUAUGUGUUUUCAACUGGUCAAGCCUUUGAUAAGAUAUGCAACUUCUUAUGCAGAUUAAACCUUUCUUCAUGUUCAUGUUUCACUUUUUUUUACAUUAUGAACUGGAAAGCAAAUAAAGAACUAGUGCAGCCACCACAGUUUGAAGCAGAGGUUCUAUGUUACCCAAAGCCAGAGAUUGUUUGUGAUUAUUUGUCAUGGAGACAAGCAGAAUGUGAGUUAUUCCUCCUAAAAGAGCACAUGUUCAACUAAUCGAAAGUAUUUAGGAACUUGUCAACCGGCAUGUAGUAUCUGAAUUUAGUUGUUCAACUUCAGCAGUACGCAUGCUUUAAAUUUAUUGCUUGUUUUUUUGCAGUAUGCCGUGACGAAUACUUAUUAAUGCCAGUGUCCCCUUUUCUUAAUGGUAUCCUGUUGCAAAGGCUUGACUGCUGUAGUAGUUAGAACAUACCAUAAGAAAAUGAGCUGACUCCUUGCACAUGCUAAUUCACAUGCCACAACAGAAACCAGUUCAAACUUGCUUUUGGAUGCUAGUGAAGUCCGGAAAAGGCAAAUAUGGAGCUCAUGAGGUACUGAAGGGAAUAUUAUCAACGGACAAGAAUGAUUUGCUCUUUCAGCGGUUUCGGAUGAACUACAACAACGACACGGAGAUGUUCCAGAAGGGUUCGUGUACUUGCCAGCAAAAGGUAUUCUGUCCAUCUAUCAUCCGAGAGAUGUUUUUCAACAACAAUGAGAAGUACUGCUAUGAUGAGAAGAAGAUGAUUCUCGUAGCUUGCACCAGUUUCUCCGCUAAUGGUCUACAGUGCAGGUGGUCCAAACCAUAACCUAUCUAAAUCACCCCCUAACCUGCUUAGACCGAUUUUGAUCUCGGUUCUCUUUUCUUCUUUCUCCUCUCCCUCUAUCUCCCUCUCCUGUUUUGUUUCCUUCUCUCUCCCAGCCAUGAUUCUCUCCAGCGCAUGCCCUAGUUAAGAGGCAACUUGCUGCCGCUGGUGCUCAUACAUCCGUCCGGCCCUCACGGCGGCACUUCCUCACCUCUGGAGCCAACUCCGGCGGCGAGCCAUAGGCAAGAGAUUGCAGAAUCGGUGACGUGUUGGAUGUCAUGUGGAGUUGUUUGAAGAAAACUGGACUAAAAACCAGUUUAACUGGGUUCAUUAGGGUGGGGGUGAUUUUGGGUUUAGCGAGUUUGAGUCUGAAGGGCUUUUUUUUUGCCCCCCUCGCCCCUGACACUUUCCUUCCCUCGCCCCCGCGUCGCCUAACCCUAGGUGGCAUGGGCGGCUUCCCCCACAACACGCCGCCGACCCCUCUACCCUCCCGCUGCCGCCGAAGGCCACAUCCAGGCGAAGCCUGUGUCGUGGCGGCGGCGGGGCCUCCCGCCCAUGGCUGUGAUGUCGUGGCGCCCACUUGGCCCCAACCAUACUGCCGGGAUCUGGAGUUGCGCUCCCCGUUCGACUCCGACGUUCUCCGCCCUCCGCCCCCGUGGUGCGGCUCCAUCCCCCCUCCCCCCCCAAGUCGAGCUUGGGUCGCGUCCCCCCUUAGGCGACAACCAUGGAGCCGUGGUGGUGCCUGGCGGCGGCGGCCACCUCAUGCAGCACGCCGGCCGGGACCUUGGCUACGCGCGCGUUCCCCUUCAAUAGCACAACACCACCUCCCUCACGCUGGCAAGGGCGAUUCCUGCUCGGCGGCCACGGACCUGCGUCCCCUCCUGCCUCCAUGGCUGUCCGGGGCGGCUUCGGGUUCGGCGAGCUGUGGGAGCUAUACUCCUUCCGGUUCCUUCGGCUCACCGAGCCUUGUGGCUCCGCACCCCCACCUUGCCGGUGCCCUUAGUUGGUCGUCCAUCCCGGCGCGUCUUUGAUUUCGGCGCACUCCGGGAGCUGCGUCCCCUUCCUGCUCCUUAGGGUCGCCGACGUCCUUGCUGCUCCGGUCCCGGUGACCAGGUUUUGUACUUCCCUCCGGACUCUGGCUCGUCCGGGCCUCCGGCCAGCGUCACAUCGCUCACCGCUUCUCUUUCCGCCCAGCCGCACACCUCCAUACCCCAUGUGUCCCUUCGCUGCUCCGUUACUCAUGCAUCCGGCGGCGGGCGUGGCUCCCAUUUCCUGUGGUCGUGGUUUCGGCCUAUGCUCGACUUCCUAUUCUUCGAUUUGUGCUCCGACGGCUUGGGAUUGCUUAGAAUCUGGCCAGGGUGAAAUCCAUGCAUCCUUUGCUGGCGGCGGCGACACCAGCGGGUGUCGUCCCCUUCUUGGAGGCGCUGCUACGGCCGUUAUCUGUGUGCUUCUUCGAGCAUCAGGGGAAACCCUAUGUCCGGUUCUCCGGAUUGGACAGCGACGGCGUCUCGGCCUCGUUCUCCUUUGUGAAGACGUUGUCUUGUUUGCUCGCGGCGUCCUUGGUUCUGGAUCUGGAGACAUUGGUCGUCUUCUUGUUGGUCUAGGCUGCUUCUCAGGAUGGCGAGUUUAGCUGUGUUUUCUCUGUUUGGCUGAGCAACCCAUGUCUCUCUCUGCUCUAGACACCAUGUUCACACCUAUUGCAUCUGUGUCAUGUGUUGUACCAUAUCUUGUACUCACUCAAACUUCUUCCAUCAAUGGAAUAAUACUUGCGUAUUUGCAUUUUCGUUAAAAAAGUUUGAGGUUGUGACAAGUAUAGCGGGGCAAUGCCGAAAGUGCUCUCUACCACGAACAAUGAGAAGAAGAUUGUUUAGUUGGGAGUCUGCACCAGUUUCACUGCUAAUGGCCUAGAGUUUAGUUGGGAGUGUUUGCAGAGGUGGAAGACGGCUGAGAUGUGAUUUCGCCGGACACGGUUGGUAAACAGGAUAGCAAGUCAAUAGUACAGACGGACGGAUGAAUGAAGGAAUGGAUAAUGCGAGGUCGGGCGUUCGAUCUCUUGACCGGCUUCCCGUGCGUACGUAAAUAGUGCCUUUUUCUUUCACGCGCGCCUCGAUUGGGCCUCGCACGCGCGCCGGCCCAUGCGGGCGAGACCGCACGUUCGUUCCCGUUUUGAUUAGUCCCAUAUCGCCAGUCGUGGGACGGCACCUCCAGUUUAUAUACUGGGUUGCCUAUCAUGGUAUCACCUCCACGGGGACAACUGGCUGAGAAAACAAAAAACCAAAAGAGGCCUUAGAGCCCAAGUAAAAAAGAGUAAAGAGGCCUUAGAACCCAAGUAAAAAAAAGUAAAGAGGCCUUAUAGAGCCCAAGGAAGAAAAAGAAAAGAGGCACUUAUUAGUGCCAAAAAAAAGAAAAAGAGGCCAGAGCCGAAAAAACCCCAAGGCCCGUGCCCACACAAGAAGAGACAAGACCAUGUACCCAUGGAAGGUUGUGCUAGACAUUAGCACAUGGCUUUUUU